UCCGUUUUUCUUCAAUUCUUCUUCUUCGGUCUUGAUUUGAAUUUUGGUUCUGAAUGUAUUUGUUGAUGGAUCUGUAAUUAGUAAUUACCCAGGUUCUGAAUGUAUUUGUUGAUGGAUCUGUAAUUGCCCAGGUUCUGAAUCUAUUUGUUGAUGGAGC